AACUGGGUGAGUACUUGAACAACAUGGCCUCGAAUCCCCAAAACAGCCCAUUCCAGGAGGUAUUAGCAUGCUUGCUUUAAAGAAGAAGAAGCUGAGGCUCAGAGGAACUCAGUGACACAAGGCUACCCGGCUCUCAAGGAGCAGAUCUGAGAUCUCAGCCGGGCCUGUUGGACUCCAGUAGAGACAGGAUUUUGCCAUGUUGGCCAGGCUGGUCUCCAACUCCUGACCUCAAGCGAUCCGCCUCCCUCUGCCUCCCCAAGUGCUGGGAUUACAGGAGUGAGCCACCGUGCCCAGCCCUGAGAACUCUUCUCACCACUCUGAGAAUCACGGCCCCACUUUGGACUUCGAGGCCCACAAGACUGGAUUCUGCCUUCUUCUCUGUGAGACUGUUCACAAAAAUGGCCCUUUCCUAGGCAUAUGCCACUUUAAAAUGGGACUUUACAGCUGUUUCCCAUCAAGGGACAGAAUCCAUUUCUCCAUCCCCUGAA